AUGAAUUUUAUCAUUUUAGUUGAGGCUGCAGUGAGCUCUGAUUGUACCACUGCAUGGGCCAACUGUGCAGUUCCACUUAAGACACAGUUGUUUUUUGUUUGUUUGUUUGUUUUUUCAAGAAAUAAAUUGGAAAAAUUUUGGAGAUUUCCUACAGUUUGCAAAACAGAUGAACUACAUAGCCUAGGAAUAUUGAAAACAUUGCUCACCUGGGCCCCACGGCCAGCGGAAUUGGCCCCGCUCUGUGGCUGCCAGGGCCUGCGCACUGGAAUCGCCAUGGCCUGUGCACCCCACCAUGCCAGUUUGAACCUCCAUGGCCUCAACCAGAUUUGGAAUGUCAAAAAGCAGAGUGUCUAUUUGAUGAAUUUGAGGAAAUCGGGAACUUUGGGCCACCCAGGCUCUGUAGAUGAGACCACCUAUGAAAGACUAGUAGAGGAAUCACUGGACUCUUUAGCAGAGUUUUUUGAAGACCUUGCAGACAAGCCAUACAUGUUUGAGGACUAUGAUGUUUCCUUUGGGAGUGGUGUCUUAACUGGUAAACUGGGUGGAGAUGUAGCAACCUACGUGAUCAACAAGCAGAUGCCAAACAAGUAAAUCUGGUUAUCUUCUCCAUCCAGUGGACUCAAGCGUUAUGACUGGACUGAGAAAAACUGGGUGUACUCCCACGAUAGCGUGUACCUCCAUGAUGUGCUCGCUGCAGAGCUCACUAAAGCCUUAAAAACCAAACUGGACUUGUCUUCCUUGGCUUAUUCUGGAGAAGACGCUUGAUGCCCAGCCUGGUUUUAAGGAUAUUAAAAGCUGUCAGGCCAAGACCCCAGCUUCAUUAUGCAGCUGAGGUCUGUUUUUUUGUUUUUCGUUGUUUUUCAUUCCUGCUUUUGAGGAACAGCUCUGUGGAAAGAAAGUGUUGCCUCCUACCUUGCCCACAAGUUUUGAUUUUUAAUUUCUACAGAAGAUUUUUUUGGAUUGUCUG